rnacentral:rRNA from 1 species
UGGGGAAUAUUGGACAAUGGGCGCAAGCCUGAUCCAGCCAUGCCGCGUGAGUGAUGAAGGCCCUAGGGUUGUAAAGCUCUUUCACCGGUGAAGAUAAUGACGGUAACCGGAGAAGAAGCCCCGGCUAACUUCGUGCCAGCAGCCGCGGUAAUACGAAGGGGGCUAGCGUUGUUCGGAAUAACUGGGCGUAAAGCGCACGUAGGCGGACUAUUAAGUCAGGGGUGAAAUCCCGGGGCUCAACCCCGGAACUGCCUUUGAUACUGGUAGUCUUGAGUCCGAGAGAGGUGAGUGGAAUUCCGAGUGUAGAGGUGAAAUUCGUAGAUAUUCGGAGGAACACCAGUGGCGAAGGCGGCUCACUGGCUCGGUACUGACGCUGAGGUGCGAAAGUGUGGGGAGCAAACAGGAUUAGAUACCCCCGUAGUCC